GACGAACGCUGGCGGCGUGCUUAACACAUGCAAGUCGAACGGAGCGAAUGAAAGCUUGCUUUUAUAAGCUUAGUGGCAAACGGGUGAGUAACACGUAGGCAACCUGCCGACAGGAUGGGGACAACAUUCCGAAAGGAAUGCUAAUACCGAAUGAAGUCGAGGGAGGGCAUCCUCCUCCGAUGAAAGAUGGCCUCUAUAUAUAAGCUAUCACCUGUCGAUGGGCCUGCGUCUGAUUAGCUGGUAGGUGAGGUAACGGCUCACCUAGGCGACGAUCAGUAGCCGGUCUGAGAGGAUGAACGGCCACAUUGGGACUGAGACACGGCCCAGACUCCUACGGGAGGCAGCAGUGGGGAAUCUUCCGCAAUGGGCGCAAGCCUGACGGAGCAACGCCGCGUGAGUGAAGAAGGUCUUCGGAUCGUAAAGCUCUGUUGAUGGGGACGAACGUGCCUAAUGCGAAUAGUAUUAGGUAA
rnacentral:rRNA from 1 species